AUUGAACGCUGGCGGCAGGCCUAACACAUGCAAGUCGAGCGAGCGGCGGACGGGUGAGUAAUGUAUGGGGAUCUGCCUGGUGGAGGGGGAUAAGUACUGGAAACGGUAGCUAAUACCGCAUACCAUCAGAUGAACCCACAUGGGAUGAGCUGGUAGGUGAGGUAACGGAUCACCUAGGCGACGAUCCCUAGCUGGUCUGAGAGGAUGAUCAGCCACACUGGGACUGAGACACGGCCCAGACUCCUACGGGAGGCAGCAGUGGGGAAUAUUGCACAAUGGGCGCAAGCCUGAUGCAGCCAUGCCGCGUGUAUGAAGAAGGCCUUCGGGUUGUAAAGUACUUUCAGUCGUGAGGCGUUACCGACAGAAGAAGCACCGGCUAACUCCGUGCCAGCCGCCGCGGUAAUAC
rnacentral:rRNA from 1 species